CACACACGUCCAGUCGCAUGAAGUCAACAACAGACGCCCACUCGACUUGGUCCGUGUGGACUCGGUUUAUCGGUCUCGGUUUCUGGCUUUGCGACUGGGGAAUUGGCAUCCGUGUCCGAAGUACCCACAUGUACAUUGUAUCCUCUCUGUGUGGGGAACCAGUAUGACGGUGUUUGCGAAUGGGGAGCAAUGCUCGGCUUCUCGGUGCUGCCUCGAGUCCCAGGUGUUCGAACUUUUGCGAUUCAAUUUUUAUGUUAAUAUUAAGAUGUCGUCCUGAAUGACGAAGUUGGCAGACAAAAAGAAAGCAACUUUAUGAGAGGCCUAUCCUUAAAGAAGAUUCUCAUUUUGUUCACCUUCCAUUCUAUAUUUUAAUGUUUCCUUUCCCUGAAUUUAGUUUUCAAAUCUGUUAAUUAAAAUAAAUAAAUAUAAAUAUCGUAAGUAUCCAGUUUUUUCAUUACCUAUAACCUCAACUUUACACAGAGAAAGGCUUAUUUUGUGGUAUCCCUACUCAAAUAUUUUUA